rnacentral:rRNA from 1 species
CUGGAAUCUAGCUUGCUAGAUUGAAGGAGUGGCGAACGGGUGAGUAAUACAUAAGCAACCUACCCACGAAGACUGGGAUAAUCUCUGGAAACGGGGACUAAUACCGGAUAGGUAAUCGGAAGGCAUCUUCUGAUUAUUAAAGGUUAAAAACACUGGUGGAUGGGCUUAUGGCGCAUUAGUUAGUUGGUGAGGUAACGGCCCACCAAGACGAUGAUGCGUAGCCGGCCUGAGAGGGUGAACGGCCACAUUGGGACUGAGACACGGCCCAGACUCCUACGGGAGGCAGCAGUAGGGAAUUUUCGGCAAUGGGGGAAACCCUGACCGAGCAACGCCGCGUGAGUGAUGACGGCCUUCGGGUUGUAAAGCUCUGUUGUAAGGGAAGAACGGUAGAUAGAGAAUAUCUAAAUGACGGUACCUUACCAGAAAGCCACGGCUAACUACGUGCCAGCAGCCGCGGUAAUACGUAGGUGGCGAGCGUUAUCCGGAAUUAUUGGGCGUAAAGGGUGCGUAGGCGGCCUGUUAAGUAAGUGGUUAAAUUGUUGGGCUCAACCCAAUCCAGCCACUUAAACUGGCAGGCUAGAGUAUUGGAGAGGCAAGUGGAAUUCCAUGUGUAGCGGUAAAAUGCGUAGAUAUAUGGAGGAACACCAGUGGCGAANGCGGCUUGCUAGCCAAAGACUGACGCUCAUGCACGAAAGCGUGGGGAGCAAAUAGGANUAGAUACCCUAGUAGUCCACGCCGUAAACGAUGAAUACUAAGUAUUGGGGAAACUCAGUGCUGCAGCUAACGCAAUAAGUAUUCCGCCUGUGGAGUAUGCACGCAAGUGUGAAACAUAAAGGAAUUGACGGGGGCCCGCACAAGCGGUGGANUAUGUGGUUUAAUUCGAC